AGCUUGCUCCAUUAUCUUAGCGGCGGACGGGUGAGUAACACGUGGGCAACCUGCCCUGCAGAUCGGGAUAACUCCGGGAAACCGGUGCUAAUACCGAAUAGUUUGCGGCCUCUCAUGAGGCUGCACGGAAAGACGGUUUCGGCUGUCACUGCAGGAUGGGCCCGCGGCGCAUUAGCUAGUUGGUGAGGUAACGGCUCACCAAGGCCACGAUGCGUAGCCGACCUGAGAGGGUGAUCGGCCACACUGGGACUGAGACACGGCCCAGACUCCUACGGGAGGCAGCAGUAGGGAAUCUUCCGCAAUGGACGAAAGUCUGACGGAGCAACGCCGCGUGAGUGAAGAAGGUUUUCGGAUCGUAAAACUCUGUUGUGAGGGAAGAACAAGUACCAACUAACUACUGGUACCUUGACGGUACCUCACCAGAAAGCCACGGCUAACUACGUGCCAGCAGCCGCGGUAAUACGUAGGUGGCAAGCGUUGUCCGGAAUUAUUGGGCGUAAAGCGCGCGCAGGCGGUCCUUUAAGUCUGAUGUGAAAGCCCACGGCUCAACCGUGGAGGGUCAUUGGAAACUGGGGGACUUGAGUGCAGAAGAGGAAAGUGGAAUUCCACGUGUAGCGGUGAAAUGCGUAGAGAUGUGGAGGAACACCAGUGGCGAAGGCGACUUUCUGGUCUGUAACUGACGCUGACGCGCGAAAGCGUGGGGAGCAAACAGGAUUAUAUACCCU
rnacentral:rRNA from 2 species